AUCCAGCUGACGAGUCAUAAAUAAAAUGAAACACUCGUCCUGGAU
rfam:Schistosoma curassoni strain Dakar, Senegal genome assembly, scaffold: SCTD_scaffold0013091